GACAUCGUUUAUUACUGUUGACCGAUGUCUACACUUUGAUUCAAAAAUUUACAAAAACGCGGAAAGACUAAAUUAAAAACUUUCGGGUACGCGGGGAACAAAAUUUUCAUUCCCCCCACACUUUAUUAUUUUUCCUACUUUUAUCUCACUCACUUUCAUCGUUUUCUCUCUCGCUCUUGCCCGAAACUCUAGCCCUCUCCUCCUUCCUCUCCCGCCCUCUUAAUUUCUACGGCCACCAUCGCCUUCCUCUCCGCUCACUCCCGCUACUGUCUCUCUUUCCUUAACCACCUCCAACCCCUCGUCGGCGCUAUCGCCUCCACCCGCAAGCUCUCUCUCUCUCUAUCUCUCUCUUAAGCUUUCUAGGAUCUUAGAAGAUUUCAAUCUGGCAAAGCACCAUCUACAACAGGUUUCAAUCUGAAUUAAUCGCGUUAAUGGUGAGUCACUGCGACUGAAUUCUUUGUUUUCUGUUUGGGUCCUGAGAAUUUUGGGGGUUUUCAAUUUUAGGGUUUUAAUUAUAGAUGGGUGGAGAUUUGGGGAUUCCUACGUUCCCUGAAGAAGACUGGGAGCCCAAUAUAAUCACAUGAUAAAAUGGGUUGGUGAAUCUGAACCUUUGAGCUUAUCAUCGAAUGGUAUUCCUUUUGAAUUUGAAUGUUGGCAUCUGGGUUUUAAUUCUCUUGGUUUGUUCUGAUCUAUUUGCUGCUUCAUAUUUUGUAGGCAUGGUUUAAGUUGGGUUUCUUAACUUAUCUUUUACUCUCAUGGAUAUCAGGUAGCUGAUUUGUAUGUUUUCUUAUAUAUAAAGGGCAUAAGCUUUUGUAAAUAAUUGUAGCUUGAAUACUGAUGUGUAACUGACUUAUGUUGCUUUUGAGUUUCAAAUUGGCAGUAGUUUUAUCAGUUUGUAUUUGAGUUUUCUUCAAUCUGUAAAAUGCUGUUGCAUUCGGUAAAAUGAUAGUAGUUUCUGUUUAUUGAUUUAAGUUGAGGAUUUUCUUGACACCUGGAUAUAGUUUAUAUGUGUCUGUAAUGAUUCACUGCUUUUGAACAACGUCCCUUUUUUUUGGUGCUGCAGAAUGCUCAACAGAUCCAUGGGCCAUUUCUCGUUGUUGUACCAUUAUCUACUUUGUCAAAUUGGGCAAAAGAAUUUAGGAAAUGGCUUCCUGAUCUGAAUGUUAUAGUGUAUGUUGGUACCCGUGCAAGCUGAGAGGUCUGUGAGAUGCAUUGAGAUUAACAAAGAAUCAAAGCUAUCCUUUGAGAAGACGGUUGCCCGCCUGCCAAACAUAGUAGAUAGCAGCAUCAGCUGGCAUCAUGCAGACACUUCUAAGAUCCGCCUUCUUUUGGCUAUCAGUUAAGACAUAGGAGAGGAAAAUCAGAAACUAGUCGUGCUCAGUACAUAAACACAAAGGAUGUGAGAAAAUAUAAAGAAAUGGUGGAUAUGGGGCUACUGGAUAUCACCUUUGAUGUAUGGGCAGAAUGCAAUUGUAGUUAAUGAAUUCCUUGGCAAGAGUUGGUCACAUGUUCUUCCAAACUCAUACGAAUCAUUAGGAGUUGAAAUUCUGAAAUCUCGUGGAUUUCGUACACAUGCAUAUUGGUAUUGGAUUGGCGCAGGAGCAUUGGCUGGAUACAUGCUCUUAUUCAACAUUUGUUACACUCUAGCUCUCACUUAUCUAAACCGUGAAGCAUCUGGAUACUUGAUGUUUCAAGAAAGGUUGUAGUUUUACUCAAUUUAUGAUGUACUUAAGGAAAUAAGAUGUAUUGAUUCGAUUUUGGCGUGGUUUGUAUGUCCAAAAUCUGUUCACUGGCUGAUGCUUUAAGAUUAUGUAUAAUCAGAUUGCUUGAAUUAAUGCAUUGCCCCAUAUUUAAG